rnacentral:rRNA from 1 species
UCCGUAGGCGGGCAAUUAAGUCAGAGGUGAAAUCCCACAGCUCAACUGUGGAACUGCCUUUGAUACUGGUUGUCUUGAGUUAUAGUGAAGUAGAUAGAAUAUGUAGUGUAGCGGUGAAAUGCAUAGAUAUUACAUAGAACACCGAUUGCGAAGGCAGUCUACUAACUGUAUACUGACGCUAAUGGACGAAAGCGUGGGGAGCGAACAGGAUUAGAUACCCUGGUAGUCC